rnacentral:tRNA from 1 species
CCGGCCGCUGUGGAAGUUGCGCCGCCAUGCGCCGCCGCCGGCGGCGCAGUGGCCCGAUCGGCAUGCCAUCGUGAUCGGUGCCGGUCUGGCCGGUUGCGCC